UUGUUCGGAUUUACUGGGCGUAAAGGGCGCGCAGGCGGCUACAUUUGUCAGGCGUGAAAGCCCCGGGCUUAACCUGGGAACUGCGCUUGAUACGGUGUGGCUAGAGUUCGGGAGAGGAGAGUGGAAUUCCCAGUGUAGAGGUGAAAUUCGUAGAUAUUGGGAAGAACACCGGUGGCGAAGGCGGCUCUCUGGACCGAUACUGACGCUGAGGCGCGAAAGCGUGGGGAGCAAACAGG
rnacentral:rRNA from 1 species